GGGAAGGCCUGUGGCUCAGUGGUAGAACAUCUGUCUUGCCCUCAGAAGGUUCUAGGUUCAACCCCUGACAUCCCCA